UGGGGAAUAUUGGGCAAUGGAGGCAACUCUGACCCAGCAACGCCGCGUGAAUGAUGAAGGUCCUCGGAUUGUAAAGUUCUGUGAAGAGGGAAGAAGAAAGUGACAGUACCUCUAAAGCAAGUCACGGCUAACUACGUGCCAGCAGCCGCGGUAAUACGUAGGUGACAAGCGUUGUCCGGAAUGACUGGGCGUAAAGGGUGCGUAGUCGGUUUGACAAGUUGGUAGUGAAAUUCCAGGGCUCAACCCUGGCGCUAUUGCCAAAACUGUUAAACUUGAGUGUGAGAGAGGUAAGUGGAAUUCCUAGUGUAGCGGUGGAAUGCGUAGAUAUUAGGAGGAACACCAGUGGCGAAGGCGACUUACUGGCUCAUUACUGACGAUGAGGCACGAAAGCGUGGGGAGCAAACAGG
rnacentral:rRNA from 2 species